rnacentral:rRNA from 1 species
UGGGGAAUAUUGCACAAUGGGCGAAAGCCUGAUGCAGCAACGCCGCGUGAAGGAAGAAGGCCUUCGGGUCGUAAACUUCUGUCCUUGGGGAAGAAGAACUGACGGUACCCAAGGAGGAAGCCCCGGCUAACUACGUGCCAGCAGCCGCGGUAAUACGUAGGGGGCAAGCGUUAUCCGGAAUUAUUGGGCGUAAAGAGUACGUAGGUGGCAACCUAAGCGCAGGGUUUAAGGCAAUGGCUUAACCAUUGUUCGCCCUGCGAACUGGGAUGCUUGAGUGCAGGAGAGGAAAGCGGAAUUCCUAGUGUAGCGGUGAAAAUGCGUAGAUAUUAGGAGGAACACCAGUGGCGAAGGCGGCUUUCUGGACUGUAACUGACACUGAGGUACGAAAAGCGUGGGGAGCAAAACAGGAUUAGAUACCC